rnacentral:rRNA from 1 species
AUGCCUACGGGACGCAGCAGUAGGGAAUCUUCCACAAUGGACGAAAGUCUGAUGGAGCAACGCCGCGUGAGUGAAGAAGGGUUUCGGCUCGUAAAGCUCUUUUGGUAGUGAAGAAAGAUAGAGGCAGUAACUGGCCUUUAUUUUACGGUAAUUACUUAGAAAGGCACGGCUAACUACGUGCCAGCAGCCGCGGGAAUACGUAGGGGGCAAGCGUUGUCCGGAUUUAUUGGGCGUAA